GAAUAUGAGGGCAAUCUGGCUGCACCAUCUGUCACCCCAUUGAUCUCUAGGGUUGAUUCGGCUGAUCUGGCUGUCUAGGCAGAGUGUCCCGUUUUCUCCCUCACCAUUCCAUAUGCAUCCUUCCAGAAGCUGUGCGUUUCUUGGUCAACGCGGAUGACCACCCCCCCAUAGAGGAGGACUGUUUCCUCCAUCAAGAGUCUAAGAGUAGCUGUGCUCCCCUGCUUGAACCUCCAAACAAGCUCUCAAGGUCCAUUUGAAUAUCCUUUGAUCAUUUUAAGACAAAAGUUCAACUUAAUUCAUUUCUGUUCAUU
rnacentral:snRNA from 1 species